rnacentral:rRNA from 1 species
CCUACGGGAGGCAGCAGUGAGGAAUAUUGGUCAAUGGACGCAAGUCUGAACCAGCCAUGCCGCGUGCAGGAUGACGGCUCUAUGAGUUGUAAACUGCUUUUGUACGAGGGUAAACUCAGAUACGCGUAUCUUUCUGAACGUAUCGUACGAAUAAGGAUCGGCUAACUCCGUGCCAGCAGCCGCGGUAAUACGGAGGAUUCAAGCGUUAUCCGGAUUUAUUGGGUUUAAAGGGUGCGUAGGCGGUCGGAUAAGUUAGAGGUGAAAUCCCGAGGCUCAACUUCGGAAUUGCCUCUGAUACUGGUCGGCUAGAGAGUAGUUGCGGUAGGCGGAAUGUAUGGUGUAGCGGUGAAAUGCUUAGAGAUCAUACAGAACACCGAUUGCGAAGGCAGCUUACCAAGCUACGUCUGACGUUGAGGCACGAAAGCGUGGGGAGCAAACAGGAUUAGAUACCCCAGUAGUC